rnacentral:rRNA from 1 species
CUGGUGAGUAACACGUGGGAAACCUGCCCAGAAGCGGGGGAUAACACCUGGAAACAGAUGCUAAUACCGCAUAACAACUUGGACCGCAUGGUCCGAGCUUGAAAGAUGGCUUCGGCUAUCACUUUUGGAUGGUCCCGCGGCGUAUUAGCUAGAUGGUGGGGUAACGGCUCACCAUGGCAAUGAUACGUAGCCGACCUGAGAGGGUAAUCGGCCACAUUGGGACUGAGACACGGCCCAAACUCCUACGGGAGGCAGCAGUAGGGAAUCUUCCACAAUGGACGAAAGUCUGAUGGAGCAACGCCGCGUGAGUGAAGAAGGGUUUCGGCUCGUAAAACUCUGUUGUUAAAGAAGAACAUAUCUGAGAGUAACUGUUCAGGUAUUGACGGUAUUUAACCAGAAAGCCACGGCUAACUACGUGCCAGCAGCCGCGGUAAUACGUAGGUGGCAAGCGUUGUCCGGAUUUAUUGGGCGUAAAGCGAGCGCAGGCGGUUUUUUAAGUCUGAUGUGAAAGCCUUCGGCUCAACCGAAGAAGUGCAUCGGAAACUGGGAAACUUGAGUGCAGAAGAGGACAGUGGAACUCCAUGUGUAGCGGUGAAAUGCGUAGAUAUAUGGAAGAACACCAGUGGCGAAGGCGGCUGUCUGGUCUGUAACUGACGCUGAGGCUCGAAAGUAUGGGUAGCAAACAGGAUUAGAUACCCUGGUAGUCCAUACCGUAAACGAUGAAUGCUAAGUGUUGGAGGGUUUCCGCCCUUCAGUGCUGCAGCUAACGCAUUAAGCAUUCCGCCUGGGGAGUACGGCCGCAAGGCUGAAACUCAAAGGAAUUGACGGGGGCCCGCACAAGCGGUGGAGCAUGUGGUUUAAUUCGAAGCUACGCGAAGAACCUUACCAGGUCUUGACAUACUAUGCAAAUCUAAGAGAUUAGACGUUCCCUUCGGGGACAUGGAUACAGGUGGUGCAUGGUUGUCGUCAGCUCGUGUCGUGAGAUGUUGGGUUAAGUCCCGCAACGAGCGCAACCCUUAUUAUCAGUUGCCAGCAUUAAGUUGGGCACUCUGGUGAGACUGCCGGUGACAAACCGGAGGAAGGUGGGGAUGACGUCAAAUCAUCAUGCCCCUUAUGACCUGGGCUACACACGUGCUACAAUGGAUGGUACAACGAGUUGCGAACUCGCGAGAGUAAGCUAAUCUCUUAAAGCCAUUCUCAGUUCGGAUUGUAGGCUGCAACUCGCCUACAUGAAGUCGGAAUCGCUAGUAAUCGCGGAUCAGCAUGCCGCGGUGAAUACGUUCCCGGGCCUUGU